rnacentral:rRNA from 1 species
UACGGAGGGUGCAAGCGUUGUUCGGAAUCACUGGGCGUAAAGGGCGUGUAGGCGGCCUGUUAAGUCUGAUGUGAAAUCCCCUCGCUCAACGAGGGAACUGCGUCGGAAACUGGCAGGCUCGAGUACCGGAGAGGAAGGUGGAAUUCCCGGUGUAGCGGUGAAAUGCGUAGAUAUCGGGAGGAGCACCGGUGGCGAAGGCGGCCUUCUGGACGGAUACUGACGCUGAUACGCGAAAGCGUGGGGAGCAAACAGG